rnacentral:lncRNA from 1 species
CCUUAGCCAAAUAGUUGGAACAAGUCAUUCUUUUUUAUUCCCAUUUUAGAUUCUAACUCCUCCCAACUAAACAUUCUUUUAACGUUGCUUAGAUUGCCUCCUAUGAAUUUUCUCUUUUUUAGGCUGCUCUUUACUAUUGUACUUUUUGCUUGUCACUAACCAGGCCCAAGAGAACCCCAGGCCUUGUGAACUUCACAAUUUUC